UACGGGGGGAGCAAGCGUUGUUCGGAUUUACUGGGCGUAAAGGGCGCGUAGGCGGCCACCGCAAGUCGACUGUGAAAUCUCCGGGCUUAACCCGGAAAGGUCAGCCGAUACUGCGGGGCUAGAGUGCAGAAGGGGCAACUGGAAUUCUCGGUGUAGCGGUGAAAUGCGUAGAUAUCGAGAGGAACACCUGCGGCGAAGGCGGGUUGCUGGGCUGACACUGACGCUGAAGUGCGAAAGCCAGGGGAGCGAACGGG
rnacentral:rRNA from 1 species